CUAUCGGUACGGGUUGUGGGAGCAAGAGCCCGGAGAUGGAUUCUGAGACACGAAUCCAGGCCCUACGGGGCGCAGCAGGCGCGAAAACUUUACAAUGCAGGCAACUGUGAUAAGGGAACCCCGAGUGCCCGUAUGGACGGGCUGUUCAGGUGCUUAAAAACCACCUGGAGAAAGGGCCGGGCAAGACCGGUGCCAGCCGCCGCGGUAAUACCGGCGGCUCGAGUGGUGGCCACUAUUACUGGGCUUAAAGCGUCCGUAGCUUGGUCGUUAAGCCUCUGGGGAAAUCUUCCGGCUUAACCGGAAGGCGUCUCAGGGGAACUGGCGACCUAGGGAUCGGGAGAGGUGAGAGGUACUCUGGGGGUAGGAGUGAAAUCCUGUAAUCCUCAGGGGACCACCUGUGGCGAAGGCGUCUCACCAGAACGACUCCGACAGUGAGGGACGAAAGCUGGGGGAGCAAACCGGAUUAGAUACCCGGGUAGUCCCAGCCGUAAACAAUGCGCGUUAGGUGAGUAUUGGGAAUUCCUGCAGC
rnacentral:rRNA from 1 species